GACGAACCGUGCGAACGUUGUUCGGAAUCACUGGGCUUAAAGGGCGCGUAGGCGGGCUGUCAAGUCUGGGGUGAAAUGCCACGGCUCAACCGUGGAACUGCCUCAGAUACUGACGGCCUCGAGGGAGGUAGGGGCGUGCGGAACUGUAGGUGGAGCGGUGAAAUGCGUUGAUAUCUACAGGAACUCCGGUGGCGAAAGCGGCGCGCUGGACCUCUUCUGACGCUGAGGCGCGAAAGCUAGGGGAGCAAACGGGAUUAGAUACCCCGGUAGUCC
rnacentral:rRNA from 1 species